UACGGGGGGGGCAAGCGUUGUUCGGAAUUACUGGGCGUAAAGGGUUCGUAGGUGGCCAACUAAGUCAGACGUGAAAUCCCUCAGCUUAACUGGGGAACUGCGUCUGAGACUGGAUGGCUUGAGUGCAGGAGAGGAACGCGGAAUUCCGGGUGUAGCGGUGAAAUGCGUAGAUAUCCGGAGGAACACCGGUGGCGAAGGCGGCUUCCUGGACCGAUUACUGACGCUGAGGCGCGAAAGCUAGGGGAGCAAACGGG
rnacentral:rRNA from 1 species